UACGUAGGGUGCGAGCGUUGUCCGGAAUUACUGGGCGUAAAGAGUUCGUAGGCGGUUUGUCGCGUCGUUCGUGAAAACUUGGGGCUUAACUCCAAGCGUGCGGGCGAUACGGGCAGACUUGAGUACUACAGGGGAGACUGGAAUUCCUGGUGUAGCGGUGAAAUGCGCAGAUAUCAGGAGGAACACCGGUGGCGAAGGCGGGUCUCUGGGUAGUAACUGACGCUGAGGAACGAAAGCCAGGGGAGCAAACGGG
rnacentral:rRNA from 1 species